ACGGCGCCGCUCCCAGGAGCUAAACCCGGGAGUUGCCGCGGUUGCAGCGAAGUGGGCGGAGUCUGGCCCCGGCAGUGGAGGCGGUGGCUUGGCGGCUGGGAUCUUAAAGAGAACUGCGUUUAAGCUGCUUGCUAGCAAACUGCUGGCCUUCAAGCAAAGCGUUCUGAGGUUCUGGCCAGGAUUAUGAGAAACGAGAAAAAGAGAGAGAAACGAGCCACAUGUCAGAAUUAGCGGCUUCCCCACGGCCCGGCGAAGGACGGUUUCCGAGCUUGAGGUCGAGAGGGAAACUGGCGCCGCCGGCCGAGCGAGGGAGGGGCUGCUCUUGCGUCCCAGGCCUUGGGUUCAGAGAAAGAGGCCCAAGAGUCGCGGUGAAGGUUUUGCUCGGGUCGUGGCGUCCUGAGGGCCGGGAUACGGUGUGGAGAAGCAGCGGUUUGGGGUUCAGUCCACAGGAGGUGGGUUGCGGGCCCCGCAGCCCGAGACAGAGCGCGGCUCCGAUUGGGCGUCUCCUGUCCCCCUCGCUUACCCUUGGCAGCCGGGAUUUCUGAAGAACAUUUUUUUAAUAGAUUGAAGUGCCCAGUUACCCCUUAGGGGUGUCCGCUCAAUUAUCGAGUUGCAAUUUUUCAGUUUUGGAUCGGCAGUAACGGCGCCGAGUGGCUUUCGUGAUUUGUGUUCAUCCAAGGAAGAAGAGAAUGAUAAACUCAGAAGACAUUCAAUAUAGAACCAGAUAUUUUCAAAUGAACCAUAUUAUAGUCAUUUCAUUUUACACCAGAGGAAACAAAUGGAUGAACUGACUGCUAUGGGUGACAAAACAAGUUAUUAUGGGAGGCCUAGAUUCCUGUUUUCCUGUCUGUCCCCAAAGCUCUCUGCCACACCCGUUGUGCACACCUGCCAAGGCAUGAUUUCCGGCCCAGUGACUGGGUAGAGAAUGAGCUGCUCAGUAUGAAAACCUAAGUGGCAGUACUUUUACGAGAUUCCUGUAACAAUAUUCUUUAACUUUAUUAUGUUUUAUUGCAUAGCCUAAAGUUUUAGAAAAAUUAUAUAUGUAUCUCUUUGUACAGUUGUAAGAUGACAUCUAAAUUUGUUCUUUGAAUUUAGGACAUUAUAAAGGACAUAAUUUGGGGCAUCUUAUAAAUAUCAGCAUUAUAAAGCAUCUGGAUCACUCAUUUAAUUAUAUUCACUUAAAUGUAACCCUGAUAUGUACCAUUAUCUAUAAAAUACUUGAAAUUUUUAAAAAGUGAAUUUACUUUACUUUCUUCUUGAAACUUUGUUUCCAUUGUACAGAGGAUUUGAUUCUAAUAUUUACACUUAGAAUGGAAGGUCAUAUUAGUUACUUAUCAUUUUAUUAACAAAAGUAUGUCUAAUUAAGUUUUUAAAAUUUUCUGGCAUUAAAUUUCUUUUGGACUGAUAUGUUUCAAUUACAAAGUUGAUCAAAAAAACAUGAAUUUUAAGUUUUGAUUAAAAAUUACAGAACCUGGACUGGGAAUAUAGCUCAGUGGUAGACUACUUGCCUAGAGUGUACAAGUUCUUAUAGUCAGUCUUAGCACUGCAAUAUAUAUAUAUAUAUAUAUAUAUAUACACACACACAUACACACACACACACACAUGAAUACGUGGAGAAUAAAUUUUUUUUUUUAAAUGCAGCUUUAGGGCUGGGGAUUUAGCUCAGCGCUUGCCUUGCAAGCAUGUGGUCGCGAGUUCAACCCCUAGUACCAGUAAAAAAAAUGCAGCUUUAAAAAGAUGCUUGGUAUAUCAUAUUUCUGUUGACAGGACUACUGCAGGUGCAUGGACAAGGUUUCCAUGUCUACUUCUUUGUAAAAUUAGAACCUUCAGAUGAUAACCUUUUAGGGAGCAAAACUAGCAUAUAGAAGUAUUAUAUGACUUGCUUUAAAGGUAACAUGAGCAAGAUUCAGAAGCAUAGCGACUCCUAUUUUAUGAACCACUUAUGACAAGUGUCAUCCUUUGCCUAAAUUGGAGAGGUGGAUUUAAUGAGACAUGAAAAGUUUGAUGUCUUGGUUACUUUAAUCUUGCUGAGACAAAAUACUCAAUGCUCCAAAUUAAGGAAGGAAAAGUUUAUUUAGUUCACAGUUUGUAGAGAUUUCAGUCUGUAAUCAGCUGGUUCCGAAGCAGAAUGGCAUGAAAAAGAGGUAACAGUUCAUGGCCAUAGAAGACAGAAAAAGCAACAAGAGCAAAAAAGGAGGACAGGGGAGAAGCAAGCCUCUUCCUCUUUUAUAUUGUACACAGACUUCCCUAGGUAGGGUGGAUCCUUUAUACCCAGACCGUCUUCAUGCCCUCUUACACAGGCUCAGGAGGUUUACCAAGCGAAGACCCUAGCCCCCUCCUGAGUAACUUAGUUAAACUUCUAAACUUCUCAAGUGGACACAAUAUCAACCAUUAAAAUCCAUCCCUUGUCAACUUGGCAACAUUUCUUUAAACAGAUUUCCAGAUACAAAGACAUGCAUAUUAGCAUCUCAUAACUUGAACAUUAUAACACAGGUUUAAUAAUUCUUAAAAACUGCUAGUAAGUCAAUCAACAUUAUAUUACAUUAGAACCGAAACAUUCUAGCCCUGGGCCCCCCAAAACUCAUAUACAUCCCUUUUUGCUUUACCUGCUUUUGCUGUCUUCUGCUGCUGUGAAUUGUUGGCUCUCACCACGGCCACCCUGCCUUGGAGCCAGUUGAUGAUGGACUGAAACUUGUACAAACUGUGAGCUAAAUAAAUCUUUCCUUCCUUAAUUUUGGACAUUGUCUUGUCCCAGCAACAAUUAAAAACCAACCAGGACAUUUGACAUGAUAGAAAGGACUUACUAAAAUACUAUGUAUAAAUGUAUAUGUAUUCUUACGCACAGAGAACAUACUUGAAUCUGUUUACUACUGCAGGAGACAGCAAAGUUUCCCUACUGCGUUCAUCUAUUCAGUCUCAGGACAUCCCAGGAAGCUGACUGGAGCCUCUUGGGUGGAUUGCUAUAGAUCUCAAGAAGCGUUACCCAUUUUCUUCAGUGUGCCUCAUUUUCUACAAGUGUAAUGAUGUAGGAAAGGUUUGGAAAGUCCGUGUUUGGAGGAAUCCAAAUAAAAGCUGGUGGUAAUAAAUUUUUAGUAUUAGAGAUUAUGUUUUAAUUGCUCUCCCCAUUUUAAUUGCUCUCUCCUUCCAUGGCAAUCUUUACUCCAAAACCAGGCAGAAAAAAGUAAAUAGAGCUUUUGCUAUUAAGAAAGUUUUACCUCAAAUCUCUCACUGUUGAGCAAAAUAACCUAAUAAAUAUCCUAUCUGUAGUUGCCCUAUUAUCUCUCAAUAGCUUUCCCUGAAAUCCUCAUUUAAUCAUUCCUUGCUUUCCAAUCAUUCUAAUGAAAUUCCUUCAUCCUCAUCCAUCUGCCUAAGUGUUGAAUUAUCCCUUUAUCCAGAGUAUACACCCUAUAUAUGGUGCCUGCCCACUAGUCAUUUAGUAGCAGUCUUGGUUAUCUGUCUUGUAUGUAAAAUUCAAUACUGUCUUUGGUUUCAAGCAUCCAUUAAGGGUCUUGGCAUGUACCUUUCCCACAGAGAAGAGGCAGACCACUGUAACUAUAAACUACUAUAUAGGAAUUGAGGUGUGCAUGGCUGGUAUACUCUCUGUGGUGAGACAAUUUACUAAUAGGAAGUCAUACAGAAUUAUUAGCAAAGCAAGGAGAAAAUUAUUUAAAUAACUAAGAUUGUGAAGUCUAUGAAUUGAUAGUACAAGGCAGUGACAAAUGGCCAUCUGUAUGCCUUCCUGUGUAGACAUCGCCAUUUAGGGGCCAAGGAGAACUGGCUUGGAGAGUCUGGAAACCUGAAGUUCAGCCCUGGCUCUGCUGGCUUAUGAGAACUCCUCUUGGCCUCCAUUUCCUUGCUUACAUGGGAAGAAGUUAUUGGAGACUCUUUUCUUCUUUUUCUUAGUGUUGAGCAUUUUAUUGUUUUAAAAGUUUUACAUUUGCAAUUCCCUGAGAUAAAGGAGUACGGUGCUGAACCUUGAAAUCUUUAAUGCUUAUCUGUUGGCUUAGAUGUUGUAGUGCUUUACUUCUUUCUGUUAAGUACUCUGUGAAUUUAUAGUCUUGAUCCUGGGCUAAAAUUGUGUAUCGUAUUCCUGAAGGAUGUUCAGAGCAGUCUUGCCAAACUGAUGGUUCUCAUCAACUAACAAAGCCCCAGUUCUAAUGAUCCUGCCAAGUUCUCCACUUUGCUCCUCAGACAUCUAGAGAACAUAAAGAGAUGACACUGAAGAUGAUGUGAACCAUUUUAACAUGGUGACAGUGAGCAAAGCCACCAUUGGCUGCAAAAUGGAACAAACAGCAACCAUUGGUUUGCGUUGGGCCUACUGUUAAGUGGCGGGAUUUUUAAUUUCAGGUACUGUGUUGGGUAGAGUUAGACAAGUCAGCAAUGAAAAUCUUACUCCAUUUCUCCCAUCAAUGUUUGACCCUUCUCCUGAUGAUGACUAGCCAGCUCUUCUGUAACCAGAGGUACACCUCUUGGAGAAUCUGGGCAGAACAGUAAAUCCAGUGGCAUCCAAAAACUGUCAGAGCUUGUAUAUUUAAACACAUAAGAAAAGUAUGUGGCAGUGGGUUGGUUUUUUGUAGGUGGACUGUGUCCUGGGAAGAUUGGAAGGGCUUAGGGAACAGACUUCCCUCCAUUUGCAGCAUAAACAAGAUCUCUGUUGGGCACAAGCUCUAAUCCUGAGGCCCUCUCUAAGGCCUCCAGAUGCAAAAUGUUCAGUAAAGAACUGCUUCAAACCUCUGGGACAGUCAAGAUAGUCAAGGCUGUGAUGAGAAAGUAGAUAAGCCCAAAUUUCAGUGUCAGAAGUCACAUUCCUCACUCAAUGUUUCCUCAUCAGUUUCAAGUCAGCAAGGGUUAUGCUCGAAGCUGGUCCUGCUCUUGGAUCUGGGAUGAAGGAGCAGGGAUGAACUGUGGUGGCAGGGCACUGUGAUAGGGCAAACUAGGAGGUAGGUCUUCCAUCUUCCAUCACCUCUGCUCACUUUUCAUUGACCCAAGCAAGUCCUAAAACCAAGCUCAAAUUAACGAGGACAGAAAAAUGCAUUUUGUUAUAUGCUGAGAAGUCUUAAGAACAAGUUGUAGGCAGAUUCUGCCUGGUGAUGGCCCUCUUCCUGGUUCGUGAAUGGACAUCUUUUCUCUGUGUCCCGACAUGGAGGUAGUAAGGCCUUCAACUUGUGACUUAAUCACUUCCUCCCUUUUCAAUACCACUUCUUUGGACUAAAGUUUCAACAUAAGAACUUGGGGUGGAUGCAAACACGUAACCUACAGCAGGAACAAUAAGGAUAUUUGGAUUGUGUCACUGCCACACCCUCACCUAUGUUUACUUUUACACUGGCGAAACAUUAGUAAUGUAUCUACAGUGGGAAGUGCACCUCCCUCUGUAGUUAGUAGCCUGGCAUGAACUGCUAGUAGACAGUGAGGAGGAGAUGGUCACCCAGAAAAACAGUACAGCAAAUAUUUGUACUCCAGGUCAUCUCGAGCUAUAAACCAUGCCCUUCCUAGGUGAAAAAUCCAGUUCUCUAAUAUCCAAUUAUUUCUCACACUGUUUCUUACUCAGAAAUUUUUCAAUCUUUGGCUAUUAGUUUAACAUUUACUAUUCAAGCUAUUUGGUUAUCACUUAUUGCGUAGUAUUGCUGUCUCUGUUACUUUGGUGUUCUUCUAAGUGACAAAAAAAAAAAAAAAAAAAAACCACAUUAGAAAAAUAGAAUAACACAAGCAGGGGAUUUAGCUCAGCAGCAUAAGCGCCUGGCUAGCAAGCAUAAGUGGUGAGUUCAAUCGCCGGUACCAACAACAAAAACAAUGACAACAACAAAAUAGAACAGCAUUACUCUUCGUGGUAUCACAGGAAGAUAUGGAUGCCAAAAAAGACAUUUCACCUUGAGGAGUGUAAAAGAUUUUAGGUCUCCUCAAAUUGUGUAUCCUAGAAAUAUGUUGGGUAUACAAAGCCAUCUAUAAUAUACAGGUAUAGACACAUACAUAACUCCUCUCUUUUUUUUUUUUACAUAAAUGGUAGUAUAGUACAUAUUCUCCAUCCUGUAUUUUGUUUUCUUUUUGCAAUACUUACUGAUGAAUGUAACUACAUAUAAUUAUUAUUAGUCAUGCAUAUUUUUAAUUUAUUUGGACAUGUCAUUGUUUAUUUAACCCUGUGGAUUUGUUUUCAAAUCUCUUGUGAAAUUGGCAAUAGGCACUUGACUGAAAGUUCAUUUGUUCCCAAAAUAUAAAUCUUUCAGGCAAUAAAAAUCUUCAGUUCUGAGAGACUCAGAUUACCAUCUAUUGCUUGUAUAAAUUCCAUUGCCAUCUUCAGAGGAAUUCAGUUUAAGUCUAUGCUGAAUGGGCAGGAAGACUGUAGCCCACCUCUUUCUGGCAGGAGGUGAUUGUCAGGAGUGGACUCCUUGCCUGAGGCAGACAGAAGGAAACACAUAGCUAUGCAGUGCACGGUGGAGGCUUAGUAUGAGGUUCAUGAAUGCCAGAUUCCCAGGGCUUGGGGUGGAGGGUGCCCUAAAACCUCCACUGGCCCAGCACCUCUCUCUAGCUCCACUCUUAGAAAGUCCAAGUUUUCAGAACCUCUGCUUUUAAACUGCCAUGUGAUCCCACUGCAUAUUUCCAGUAAGCAUUCCUUUGACUUUCUUUGGGUUUUUCUAAAGUGCUUUCCUGGAGCAGAGCAGAUUGUAUGUUAGCUUUCUUUCAGUUACUACUAACUGAGAGAGUCAACUUAGAAAGAACAAAGCCAAUCUUGGCUGUUGGCUUCAGGGGUUUCUGUCUUUUCCUUUGAGCCUGUGAGAGCACAUCCUGGUGGGGAUGCUUGGCAGAGUGAGACCAUUCACUCACCUUUUGGCGAGGAAGUGAAAGAAGAGUCGGGGUUGGGGUCUUAUGAUCCCCUCUUCAAGGGCAUGUUUCUGUCCCCUGAAGACCUCCUACUACACCCAGCCCUCACCUGCAGGGUACACCACAUCCCAGUGGUGCCACGCAUCUUUGGGGGGCGCUUGAGUCACAAGAUCAAGGUCAGCAAUUUCUUAGCAUAGCGAACCCUGUCUCAAAAUUUAAAAAGAGUCAAGGGAUGGAGUUGUAACUCAGGGUGAAGCCCUUGAGCUCAGUCUCCAGGACCACACACAUGUGCAUACACAUACACAAUCAUUCUAAAUUAUGGUACUAUAUUUGUUUUGUUUCAUCCUAAUUCCUGAUGUGUAAACGCAUUCUCACUGAGUUUUCUGACUGGAAGUCACCCGAUGAUGAUAGCGUGCAUGAAGUGGGGCGGGAAGGAAUUGCUCCUGCCUGAAUGGCGUCACUCUAGGAAGUACCGCAGAGAGCACUGGGGCCUGCUGUGGUUCAGGGUUGGACUUGGUAAUCCAGAGCUGUUGUCACAUGCAUCAUUUGCACAGCAUUGCAAAAAUCCCCACCAUCUGGCCACACUUGCCAUGCCAGAAAAACACUUUAGACACAGGAUUCCAAUUAAAACCUAAUCUCAGUCAUCAUCCUACAGAUCCUGAAUUGAACAAGAGGUGGGGAGCAUAAGAGCAAAACAUCAGAAGGAUCUUGCCUUCUGUGUCUAGUUCCAUCACAAAUUAGCUACCUGACUCUCGUCAAGGCCUCCAGCCCCAUGCCUAUAAAACUGAGGGUUUUAUGAGUUACAGAGGAAAAAAUAUCUUUCAGAGUGGUGAAAUAUACAUUCCAUUACUGUCAUGUGGCACCUAUGGUGUAGAGACUCAAAAAUGCUGCUCGCAAUCAUGUUUAGCGUUCCACUACAUGUAAAGGCUUACGUGAAUCAGGCAAGCUGAUUUUGUUUAAAGGACUAUUAAGUUUGCAAGACAGGUGUUUUAAAAAUCAAAGUAAGCAUAUAUAGGAAAGGUACCUUACAAGCCUGUUUCUUGAGGUAAAUCAAGGGACUUAUUGUUUGUGGAUGUUACUUUUUGCUGGUCCUACAAUUUAAUUUGUUUUGUCAACAUGUUGGAUCUUACAGAACUAUUUUUCAUACCAUUAAUAAAAUAAUUAACAAGUGGAGAA